GCCACCUUGUUUGCACCGGGCCCGGUUCAUCCUCUUGUUUCUCUUUUUCUUCUCGCGCUUUCUCGUCCUCGUGCACCGGACUACUUUCUCUAACUGCAAGGCCACCCCGAAAACACGCACUUUCACUCGGCUGAUCGAAUGCCCCCACCGCGAUUGGGGCCCCGGCACGAAGAAACCACCGUACAGGCAGAGACCGCUCGCGAGCUCGACGCCGGACGCCGGCGAGAUAGCCGGCCGCCUUCCCGGCCGCCGUGUUCCGGCCCCAACCUUUCCUCGUCGCUUUGCACGCGUCCGUUAUCGAAAACUGCAGCCGUGGGUCGUUCUCCCACCGGCAGUGGGAACGCCAUCGCGGGAUGCGGGACACGGAGGCUCGCCGGUCACAGCCAGGAGACGACGAGGACGAUGGAUAGCCGCCGAGGCAAGAAGUAGUAGCCGCCGAGAGGCGACCAGACCUACGCACGGUCUUCCGCGUCCAUUCAAGCCUGCACACAACACUGCGACCUCACUAAGAAAACAAGAAAGAACGAGAAUGUCUUGAAGGCAUGGAUAACGGCGGGACCAUCGUGUGCAGACAAAACCAACGGCCGACUCUCCCGCUUCAAAGAACCAGGCAGCAGAUAAGCGAGUUGAAGCUGUCGUCAAACAACGCAGACAGGGGGUCAAGCGUUGGGUCUGCGAGCACAGGGACCGGGCCUAGUGAGGAGGAGGUGCGCCCGGGCUGCGAGCCGGAGCGGAGGAGAGGUGACCCCGAGCCGUGGCGUCGUCGUCGUCUCCCGGCCCGGGCCCACAGCCGCCGGGGCGAGAAAGAUAAUGUCAAGGUUCAGAGCGGCGUCCUGCUGCACGGAGGCAGAGCGCACGCCCGCGCGCUCCCUCGCAGAACACUUCAAGCGUCACAGGAACCUGUGUCCAGGGGAAGAGGACACUCACAUAGCGAAUCAGCCCGUAGUCGGCGCAGAAGAAUCGGAGCCCACUGCGGAAAACGAAAAGUCAGCAGGUCAAAUGCCUCAAGCCAUGCAGCGUCCGUAUAUAUAGCGGUGCGGCGGAAAUGCCCUUUUAAUCACCGACGUGGUUACGCGGCCCAGCGGCGUAUCGCAUCUCCCACUGCCAUGAUUAAGUCAACACGCACUGACUGGAACCAUCUUUCCGUUUCCAUCGCUUCAACCGUAGACCCGGCCUGAAUCCUUCAAAGUUGCGAUUAAGAAUUUAUUGUUAGACCACUCCUCUUUGUAAUGCCCUCGAACUUUGGGAGUAUGAAAAUGAAUGUAUGAAUAAAUAAAUAAAUAAAUAAAUAAAUAAAUAAAUAAAUAAAUAAAUAAAUAAAUAAAUAGCGUGUUAUCAGAUGUUGCUACCCGUCGCCCUCUCAACGUGCCCACAGUGCAUGGUACAUGACCAUGACUGCAUUCCGUCGCCAUCAAUAUGCGGCCGCAGUGGCCGGGACCGACGCCACAACCA